AUACAAAGCCUAAAGCCACUAUUACGCAAAGCGUUUCGGGCAGAAAUAGUCGAAGCUCAGCCCCGUAAGCACAACUAGGUGAGUCCAUUGGCAUGACCAUUAGGGUGUGCGCCAUCUAUAUUUUGACAGCAGCACUACACAUUAACCCCGCGUUAUUCUAUAUCCAAUACAUGAGUGUUAUGGUCAGUUGCUAGUCUAUAUAUGUUUCUGGACAAAGUAAGUGAUGUGAGGCUUGUUGCGGGCCAAGAUCGGUAGUAACUGUUUGAAUUGUGUUGGAAGAGGAUGUGUAGGCCAGUGUGGUAGACUAGCGGUUUACAGCACCCCUUAUAGAAAGACAGCUGAAACGGCUGAAACAUCGGGAAGAAACGGAAGAGACCAAUAUUAACAAGACCUCGUCGUGGAUAGUCGUUAACGACAGGGGUCUUGAAGACCUUGACAAGGCUGCCUACAGACGCCCUAAGGACAGCAAAUUCAUUUGCCGUGUUGGACGACAAGUGCUGUGGUGAGCCUGCAGUUCACUCGAAACGGAAAUCGGCGAGGAGCGGCGAAGCGCAGACCCCUCAGGCUUCUCAGAAAGUUAGAGGUACCAACGCGAAUUUUGGUUGUGGGAGAUUCCCAGGUGGUAAAUUGUUUCUGCUGCUACAGCUUUCCAGCCCAAGUUGUUGACUGGCUAGUCUUUUACUGCUUCCCAACAUGUUAGUGAGGUCCUGAGCUGAUGUACCCUAUGGCGAAGAGUGAGGCACUAGUUUCCUGAAGUAAUGUAUAGCAUGAGAUGGCACCCAUUCUAAACAGCAGCCGGCACCAACUCUGGCCGACGUUGGAGUGGACAAGACCCAGAUCCUGUGGGGAGGAAAAGUCUACACUAAACUGUGCAAGGGUGUUGGUUUUUCUCACUGAAGCUACCACUCGUGCAAUUUUGAUUGGUGAUUGACUUAGUCCUCCUCGUGAUCUACGGCAAGAAAGUGCAGUGGCCUGUUGGACCACCUGGACAGCGAGGCGCGAGAGUUGGAAGUGUUUCCACCAUUACGUCAGAUACUCCUCUGCUGCAGAUUUGGAAGAUUUGCAAUAUUGUGGGUUGUAGAAGGUCCUUCCAACAUAACUUCAGGAACAGUUGCAGAACAAUCGCCGGAAGUUAAAUGCUACAGAAAGUAGCAUAGUUGUCAGAAUUAGAGGGCCAAAAAUAUUGAUGGGAAAGUCUAACUUCAGCCCUGAGUUUGAAGGUGUUAAUUGCUUGACAUUCUGAAUUAGGCGAGU